UUUUGCCUACGGGGCGCAGCAGUGGGGGAUAUUGCACAAUGGGGGAAACCCUGAUGCAGCGACGCCGCGUGAGUGAAGAAGUAUUUCGGUACGUAAAGCUCUAUCAGCAGGGAAGAAAAAUGACGGUACCUGACUAAGAAGCCCCGGCUAACUACGUGCCAGCAGCCGCGGUAAUACGUAGGGGGCAAGCGUUAUCCGGAUUUACUGGGUGUAAAGGGAGCGUAUACGGCUGUGCAAGUCUGAAGUGAAAUGCCGGGGCCCAACCCCGGAACUGCUUUGGAAACUGUACAGCUAGGGUGCAGGAG
rnacentral:rRNA from 1 species